CCUGGUGGCUCAGUCAGUAAAGAGACUGCCUGCAAUGCAGGAGACCCAGGUUCGAUCCCUGGGUCAGGA
rnacentral:tRNA from 1 species